rnacentral:piRNA from 1 species
UAGAGCUAAAUCCUGUGACUAAUAGAUUAAA